rnacentral:rRNA from 1 species
GAUGAACGCUGGCGGCGUGCUUAACACAUGCAAGUCGAACGGUGAAGGCGGAGCUUGCUCUGCUGGAUCAGUGGCGAACGGGUGAGUAACACGUGAGCAAUCUGCCCCUGACUCUGGGAUAAGCGCUGGAAACGGCGUCUAAUACUGGAUACGAGCUGCGAAGGCAUCUUCAGCAGCUGGAAAGAAUUUCGGUCAGGGAUGAGCUCGCGGCCUAUCAGCUUGUUGGUGAGGUAAUGGCUCACCAAGGCGUCGACGGGUAGCCGGCCUGAGAGGGUGACCGGCCACACUGGGACUGAGGCACGGCCCAGACUCCUACGGGAGGCAGCAGUGGGGAAUAUUGCACAAUGGGCGGAAGCCUGAUGCAGCAACGCCGCGUGGGGGACGACGGCCUUCGGGUUGUAAACCUCUUUUAGCAGGGAAGAAGCGAAAGUGACGGUACCUGCAGAAAAAGCGCCGGCUAGCUACGUG